AACCACCAUCAUCUAACCGAUAUCUAAAAAUUCGUAAUAAACAACAUGUUAAUACUAAAUCUGUCGUACUGGCAUAGAGUACAAUUUUACGCAAACAAAUAACAAACUGCAAUGAGUAUAUUUAUAAAGUAAAGACAUUAAGAUCUUAUGCAAAUAUCUAAAUUACCAACAGAUCAUAUAAACAAGUAAGAUGGUGAAUUAAAAAAAGUACACCUUAGUUUUGUGGAGUAUAUUCACACAAAAAGAGUCGUCUUCAAAUUUUGAUCGGUCCUUUAAAGAUGUCCUUCUUUUUUCGCAAAUUCGACCUGGUUUGAUGUAUAGAGAAACGCAAACUCCACUCCCUUGGCAAUCCUUGACUCGGUCGAAUGAUUUUGGUGGAGGUUUGGAAUUAGAUGACUUAGGUGGUUUGGAUUUGU
rnacentral:lncRNA from 1 species